rnacentral:rRNA from 1 species
UCAGAUCACGUAAAUUUUCAAUAGUCGAACAGACUAAAAAUUUUAGCAUCUUCACCAAAAAUAUAAUUUAAUUCAACAUCGAGGUCGCAAACUCAAUUAUUAAUAAGAACUUGUUAAUUAAAUAACGCUGUUAUCCCUAAAGUAACUUCCUAACUCAUUAAAAAUAAAUCUCUUAAAAAUCUCUAUCUUCAAAAAUUACCCCAACUAAAAAUUAUCAAUUAAAAGCUUUUAGGGUCUUCUCGUCCCUAAGAUUUAUUAAAGCAUUUUUACUUUAAAUUUAAAUUCAAAAUCUUUUAACAAAACAUUCCUUUAUAGUUUGUAUCAUUCAUUCCAGUUUCCAAUUAAAAAA